UACUGAGGGGGCAAGCGUUGUUCGGAAUUACUGGGCGUAAAGGGCGCGUAGGCGGCCUGUUAAGUCGAACGUGAAAUCCCCGGGCUCAACCCGGGAACUGCGUCCGAUACUGGCAGGCUUGAAUCCGGGAGAGGGAUGCGGAAUUCCAGGUGUAGCGGUGAAAUGCGUAGAUAUCUGGAGGAACACCGGUGGCGAAGGCGGCAUCCUGGACCGGCAUUGACGCUGAGGCGCGAAAGCCAGGGGAGCAAACGGG
rnacentral:rRNA from 1 species